GCGACGAGUUGGCCACUGUCCAGGGUGUACCCUGCCUAAGGCCCAAAGUCACUGGGAUAGGCUCCAGUCACCCGCGACCCCUAACGGGACCAAGCGGUAGAAAAUGGAUGGAUAUUUAGCAACACUAAUAGUUGUAGUGCAAGGCAUGGACUUUCAAGCUUCAUUGAAAAAUGAACAGAGUCAAAAAGAAAAUAAGUCUGAUUAUUACAGAUUAAGAAAAUUACACAACUGUCUGAUAUCAGCUCGCUACAGAAAUUCAGGUGAAGCUUCUAAACAGCAGGUGAUGUUGAGAAUAAAACAGUUUUGGGGGGAGAAACCUCAGGAAGAGUAACAGAGGACGAAUCCCUCUUUCAGGACAAACAGACAGGCAAUAGGUGUCAUACAUAGAGAGAGAAGUUUAAAGUUUAACAAAUUUGGCAAAACUGGUGACAAACGUGUCCAAGUAUGUUGCCAUAUUAUUCUUGCUACUGAGAUACCGGAGCAAAAUAGUUACAUUUUGGCCUUUUCAUAGAAUGAGAACGAUUUGUCAAACAUCUUGCAAGGAAGUGACUUAUGAAAACAAAUACUUAAUUACCACACUCAGAUGACAUCACACUGAUGACAUCAUCAGGUUUAUUUUAGGACAUUGGGAAGCUUCUCCACAGCCCCAGAAGACAUUAUACAACUGUUUUCACAGGCUGUGCAGUGCUCCUCGUGACGAGUGAACUGAACCUACUGUGUAAAAUUGGUGCCCCUUUAUAUCAACGACGCACAGAAAGUUUAUUUACAAUCAUUAUCAUUAAGGGCCAUGAAUACAGGCUGUAUGAUGGUUUGAGUGCAUUUCCUCACUUUUCCGUCUCCUCUCCUCUGUUCCCUUUUCCAUUGAAAUGAAGAGGCUGACAGCUCUCACCAUAUAAGGAAAACCAUGGUAACAACAGCUCCACAGCAGAUACGCUCACUUUGAUAUCAGUUUCUGAAAACCACUGAUGAAGUCUGCAGAGCAACACUUCAGACACACUUCAAGUAAAACAACAAACUAAAUUUAAUACCUGACAUGAACUCAAUAUCAUCAGCACAUAACGCACACAUUCAAAUGACUGUACAUGUUUUGAACUGUAUGUUCGAAUUCUACAGCCAUUAUCUUCCUUUCUUAAAAUUUUAAUGAUCAGUAUAGUGCAGAGGACUGUGACAAUAAAAGUAUAUGAGUAAGAUGGCUUAUAUUCAACAUGAGCACUUCAACAUAUUCCACAUCCAAAUUAUGCAUCUAUGCAACUUAUUCUUUUAGAAGAGAAUUCUUCAGCUUGACACAGGUAUAAUAAAAUGUAAAUAUACAUGUAUUUACACACAAAAGCACACAACAUAAUUAAAACAAUAAUAACAUAUUUUAAGUGCCACUGAAACAACAUUCUUUAUCCAUUUGAAAUCAAUAGUCAUUUAAAAAAAUAAAGGACAAACAAAGACACUGGAGUGCCACAUUGAUUAUAUUAUCAGGAAAUCCAUCAGUAAUGCCAAAAGGAACAAAUGAUACAAGCAACCAUUAAAUAUUUAUAGAGAACUCUAGCACAUUGGUUACAUAUAUAUCUGAACUAAUACUACACAUGUUUUCUAUCAAACAUACUGUAUAGUAUAAUGUGUACUGUAGUGUAUAACGCUUCUUCAAAAAAAUAUUUUGACAAAAAAAGGAAUAAAAGUUUUACAUUUACAGGUAAAAAUAAAAACAAUAAAUAAUAAUAAUAAAUCAAGUGAAAUCAGUUCAAUAUCAACGGCAUGUAAGUCCAAGUCCUAACACCAUGCUAAAGCAACUCAAUCACUGGUCAUUCAGUCUUUGAAAUUUUAUUUUAACAGCUUUGUGGGUAUUUGGAAUUAAAAAGAGUAAUAAAUAAUACAU